UCGUGACCGGCGGGGACGAGCGCGUAGGUGUGCUCGAGCCACUCCGCCAGCGGGGGUACCGGCAGUUCGAACACCGCCGCCAUGUC
rnacentral:tRNA from 1 species